rnacentral:rRNA from 1 species
AGAGUUUGAUCCUGGCUCAGGACGAACGCUGGCGGCGUGCUUAACACAUGCAAGUCGAGCGGAAAGGCCCUUCGGGGUACUCGAGCGGCGAACGGGUGAGUAACACGUGAGCAACCUGCCCCUGGCUCUGGGAUAGCCUCCGGAAACGGGGAUUAAUACUGGAUAUUCACUGCUUCCUGCAUGGGGGGUGGUGGAAAGUUUUUCGGUCAGGGUGGGGCUCGCGGCCUAUCAGCUUGUUGGGGGGGUGACGGCCCACCAAGGCGACGACGGGUAGCCGGCCUGAGAGGGCGACCGGCCACACUGGGACUGAGACACGGCCCAGACUCCUACGGGAGGCAGCAGUGGGGAAUAUUGCGCAAUGGGCGGAAGCCUGACGCAGCGACGCCGCGUGCGGGAUGAAGGCCUUCGGGUUGUAAACCGCUUUCACCAGGGACGA